UACGUAGGGGGCGAGCGUUGUCCGGAUUUAUUGGGCGUAAAGAGCUCGUAGGCGGUUCGAUAAGUCGGAUGUGAAAUCUCCACGCUCAACGUGGAGGGGCCAUUCGAUACUGUCGUGACUCGAGUCCGGUAGGGGAGUGUGGAAUUCCCGGUGUAGCGGUGAAAUGCGCAGAGAUCGGGAGGAACACCCGUAGCGAAGGCGGCACUCUGGGCCGGUACUGGACGCUGAGGCGCGAAAGCGUGGGGAGCAAACAGG
rnacentral:rRNA from 1 species